CCUACGGGUGGCUGCAGUGGGGAAUAUUGCACAAUGGGCGCAAGUCUGACGGAGCAACGCCGCGUGAGCGAAGAAGGUCUUCGGAUCGUAAAGCUCUGUUGUCGGGGAAGAACAAGUACGGUAGGAAAUGGCCGUACCUUGACGGUACCCGACGAGAAAGCCACGGCUAACUACGUGCCAGCAGCCGCGGUAAUACGUAGGGGGCGAGCGUUAUCCGGAAUCACUGGGCGUAAAGGGUGCGUAGGCGGCCGAUUAAGCCAGGGGUGAAAGGCUACGGCUCAACCGUAGUAAGCCCUUGGAACUGAUUGGCUUGAGUGCAGGAGAGGAGAGUGGAAUUCCUAGUGUAGCGGUGAAAUGCGUAGAUAUUAGGAGGAACACCAGUGGCGAAGGCGACUCUCUGGACUGUAACUGACGCUGAGGCACGAAAGCGUGGGGAGCAAACAGGAUUAGAUACCCCUGUAGUC
rnacentral:rRNA from 1 species